UAACAUUUAAACUGUUACAGGCAUGAGC
rnacentral:piRNA from 1 species